UACGAAGGGGGCUAGCGUUGCUCGGAAUUACUGGGCGUAAAGCGCACGUAGGCGGUCUUUUAAGUCGGGGGUGAAAUCCUGGAGCUCAACUCCAGAACUGCCUUCGAUACUGGAAGACUUGAGUCCGGGAGAGGUGAGUGGAACUGCGAGUGUAGAGGUGAAAUUCGUAGAUAUUCGCAAGAACACCAGUGGCGAAGGCGGCUCACUGGCCCGGUACUGACGCUGAGGUGCGAAAGCGUGGGGAGCAAACAGG
rnacentral:rRNA from 3 species